CAGCCGCAGUCGCCAUUCAGCUUCAGCCUGACCCGGGUUGAACUGCACCUGGCGUGCAUACGAUGCGCUGAAGUCAAAGCCUUGGCGGGCACUCAGGUUUCGCGCCGAGAUUCCUGCGAUAAGUGAGGAAAAGCACGUACCCUCUCCUGCGGACUGCCACCACUAAGUGCGAGUCGGUCUCGUUGACGAUGUACCGCUCAUGGGCCAGCGAGAUCCACGACCAGCGAAGAUCGAACUUCUGGCCCCUCAGCUCGUUCUUCCCUGCAAAGAAAGUGAAGGAAACGUAAGAUGGAAUGAAAAGUACCAUAAAUAGCCGCUUAUUGUAAGUAAAAAA
rnacentral:lncRNA from 1 species